AACGCACCUUGCGCUCCUUGGUAUUCCGAGGAGCAUGCCUGUUUGAGUGUCAUGAAAUUCUCAACCCACCCUUCUGCUUUUUUGUAGUGGGGCUUGGGCUUGGAUUUGGGGGCUUUACCUGCCGGUCAACCUUGCUUGAUCGGCUCCCCUUGAAGGCAUUAGCCCAGGACCUUUGCUUCCCGGUCAGUUCACGGUGUGAUAGUCUAUCAACGCCAUGUGAGGGCCGUGGUUUUUUAGGUGUCCGGAGGGCUCUCCAACAAAAAAGUCUUACUCUUGAUCUGACCUCAAAUCAGGCAGGACUACCCGCUGAACUUAA
rnacentral:misc_RNA from 1 species